AAACUAGGAGUUCGCUAGUAAUCGCGCAUCAGCCAUGGCGCGGUGAAUACGUUCCCGGGCCUUGUACACACCGCCCGUCAAGCCAUGGAAGCCGGGAGUGCCUGAAGUGUGCAACCGCAAGGAGCGCCCUAAGGUAAAACUGGUGACUGGGGCUAAGUCGUAACAAGGUAGC
rnacentral:rRNA from 1 species